rnacentral:ribozyme from 13 species
UGAAGAAACACAACAACAAAGAACAAAGAAGUGUCGACAGCAACCUUUUCUUUCUCUUCUUUCUUUGUUGUUCUUUGUUGUUCUUCUCUUCCUUUGUUGUUGUUCUCUCUCCUU